AUGUCACCUAAGUGGUGUAAAAACAACAAUAAUAAUUUAGGAAAUGGAUGGGGAUUUAUAAAAACUCAGCACUUGCAUCCACACACGUGUGUAUUACACUGUGUGUGCUAUAAUAGUAGCAGUAUGACCUGUUCUGUUAGGUCUGAUC